rnacentral:rRNA from 1 species
GGCCUACGGGGCGCAGCAGUGGGGAAUAUUGGGCAAUGGGCGCAAGCCUGACCCAGCGACGCCGCGUGAGGGAAGACGGUCUUCGGAUUGUAAACCUCUUUCAGCAGGGAAGACAAAAGGACGGUACCUGCAGAAGAAGCCACGGCUAACUACGUGCCAGCAGCCGCGGUAAUACGUAGGUGGCAAGCGUUAUCCGGAAUUACUGGGUGUAAAGGGAGCGCAGGCGGCUUUGCAAGUCUGAUGUGAAAGGCCAGGGCUCAACCCUGGGACUGCAUUGGAAACUGUAAAGCUAGAGUGCCGGAGAG